CGGUGAGAUAUUGUUUAAUAAAUAUGAAUCUCGUAUGGGCGAUUGAAUUUAGCGGCCGCGAAUUCGCCCUUAGAGUUUGAUCCUGGCUGAGGAUGAACGCUAGCGGGAGGCUUAACACAUGCAAGUCGAAGGGCAGCAUUAUCGCUUGCGAUAGAUGGCGACUGGCGAACGGGUGCGUAACGCGUAUGCAACCUGCCCUCAACUGGAGAAUAGCCCAGAGAAAUUUGGAUUAAUACUCCAUAGUAUUACAGAUUCGCAUGUUUCUGUAAUUAAAGUUCCAACGGUUGAGGAUGGGCAUGCGUGACAUUAGUUUGUUGGUGAGGUAACGGCUCACCAAGACUACGAUGUCUAGGGGUUCUGAGAGGAUGAUCCCCCACACUGGUACUGAGACACGGACCAGACUCCUACGGGAGGCAGCAGUGAGGAAUAUUGGACAAUGGAGGCAACUCUGAUCCAGCCAUCCCGCGUGCAGGAAGACGGCCCUAUGGGUUGUAAACUGCUUUUAUACAGGAAUAAACCCCUCUACGUGUAGAGGGCUGAAGGUACUGUAAGAAUAAGCACCGGCUAACUCCGUGCCAGCAGCCGCGGUAAUACGGAGGGUGCAAGAGUUAUCCGGAUUUAUUGGGUUUAAAGGGUCCGCAGGCGGAUCUGUAAGUCAGUGGUGAAAGCCUUCAGCUUAACUGGAGAAUUGCCAUUGAUACUGCUGAUCUUGAGUUCGGUUGAAGUGGGCGGAAUAUGUAGUGUAGCGGUGAAAUGCAUAGAUAUUACAUAGAACACCUAUUGCGAAGGCAGCUCACUAAGCCGAUACUGACGCUCAGGGACGAAAGCGUGGGGAGCGAACAGGAUUAGAUACCCUGGUAGUCCACGCUGUAAACGAUGAUAACUCGCUGUUGGCGAUAUACUGUCAGCGGCCAAGCGAAAGCGUUAAGUUAUCCACCUGGGGAGUACGAUCGCAAGGUUGAAACUCAAAGGAAUUGACGGGGGCCCGCACAAGCGGUGGAGCAUGUGGUUUAAUUCGAUGAUACGCGAGGAACCUUACCUGGGCUUAAAUGCAGAUUGACAGACUGGGAAACCAGUCUUCUUCGGACAAUCUACAAGUGCUGCAUGCUGUCGUCAGCUCGUGCCGUGAGGUGUUGGGUUAAGUCCCCAACGACGCCACCCCUAUUCUUAUUGCCCCAUGUAUGGAUUGGGGACUCUAUGGAAAACUGCCACGCUACCCUGUUAGAAAGUUGAUGUAGACUCAUUCCCCCGGCUUAUCUAGCCUAAACAGGCCAUAUGGUCGGUACAAGAGACCCACAGUGUGGAGGGAGUGUCAUUACUCCAUAACACCCU
rnacentral:rRNA from 1 species